rnacentral:rRNA from 1 species
AGAUUGAACGCUGGCGGCAGGCCUAACACAUGCAAGUCGAGCGGUAGAGAGGUGCUUGCACCUCUUGAGAGCGGCGGACGGGUGAGUAAUGCCUAGGAAUCUGCCUAGUGGUGGGGGAUAACGUUCGGAAACGGACGCUAAUACCGCAUACGUCCUACGGGAGAAAGCGGGGGACCUUCGGGCCUACGUCGCCAUUAGAUGAGCCUAGGUCGGAUUAGCUAGUUGGUGAGGUAAUGGCUCACCAAGGCGACGAUCCGUAACUGGUCUGAGAGGAUGAUCAGUCACACUGGAACUGAGACACGGU